CUUAUUCUUGACCUUCAUGUGGAUUGUAUCUUAGGUUAUUCAAGAUUUUGGACUAAUACCAACUUAUGAUUUUUUGCAAGAUGCUUAAGCUGUGAUAUUCAGCUUCUCGUCUGAACAUAAAAUAAUGCAACCUUAUACAGAUUCUGCUCCACACAUCUUCCCGUUCUUCUCUGAGAAAGGUGAACCCCCACUUGAAUUUGUCAUCAACACAAAUUGUGAAAUUCAACAGAUUCAAGGGCCACUGUCAUCAAGACUGCCACCCCAUCAUAUUCAUUAUUAACAAGAACCAACUGAUGUGCUCUGUAUUCUAUCCUGCAUCAUAAUCUUGGGUAACUACAUGCUAAAAUUCAUCUUGAAUAUGUUUAAAUCAUCCCCACUGAAAAUCAUGCAUGUGUUGUAUUUGUUUUAUAUUUUUUAAGCAGACAAUAAUUUAAGGGAAUAAAAAUCGACAGACUUGAGAGAUGGUUUGGGAAAGACUAUGAAAUUAAAUCAUGAGUGUCUGAGUUCAGAUGACUUCAUCCAUGCAGAUAGCCAGCCAUAUUGAU
rnacentral:sRNA from 1 species